rnacentral:lncRNA from 1 species
UUCAUAACCAAGAAUGAUUGAAAACAGAAGAAGGAAUUGCUGUCAAAGAUUGUACAGUACAAUGAAGUUGUACAGUGAUGUUCAGGACUAUAAAUGUUAGCAGGUAGUAGAACUGUUGAAUCAAGAACAAGGCAAACCACUUCAGGAGGCCAUGGAAUGUGAUUAUAAAGUAAUGAGACAGACUCCACAGCAGCCAGCCUUAUAAUUUUAGAGUCA